CCUACGGGAGGCAGCAGUGAGGAAUAUUGGUCAAUGGUCGGGAGCCUGAACCAGCCAAGCCGCGUGAGGGAGGAAGGUACAGAGUAUCGUAAACCUCUUUUGUCAGGACACAAAGGCGGGGACGUGUCCCCGGAUGAGUGUACCUGAAGAAAAAGCAUCGGCUAACUCCGUGCCAGCAGCCGCGGUAAUACGGAGGAUGCGAGCGUUAUCCGGAUUUAUUGGGUUUAAAGGGUGCGCAGGCGGUCUGUUAAGUCAGCGGUCAAAGCCCGGGGCUCAACCCCGCCCCGCCGUUGAAACUGGCAGUCUCGAGUUGGAGAGAAGUAUGCGGAAUGCGCGGUGUAGCGGUGAAAUGCAUAGAUAUCGCGCAGAACUCCGAUUGCGAAGGCAGCAUGCCGGCUCCACACUGACGCUGAGGCACGAAAGCGUGGGUAUCGAACAGGAUUAGAUACCCUUGUAGUC
rnacentral:rRNA from 1 species